CACGGACGGGACGGGUCACGGGUGCACCAUUCUUGACGCCCACCCAAAUCCAUGGCGAGCUCGCCGCGAUCUCCGCCGGCGCCUACGCCGGAAUUCGAGAUCUCUCGGCAGUCCCGCCUCUUUGCGGCGUUGUCCAAGAAGGUGAUAUAGGUCUCGAUGAACUGAGGAUGCUGGCGGCUCAGGGAGUCCAGACGCGGCGGGCGUCCAGGCGACCGUGUGGAAGCUGCUACUGGGCUAUCUGCCCAAUGACCGCGCGCUGUGGCCUGUGGCUGUGGGAGCAGAGGAGCUGGCAAAGAAGAGAGGACAGUACGCUGCUUUCAAAGUUUAUGGCCACCAAUGCCUGACUAGAUAGAUCCUCUCCCAAAAAUAGAGACCCCGAAUCCUGAAUUUGCUAAAGUGCAAACAGAAGGCCCCACUACAACGUAAAUGCAGAACAUGUUCACAAUGGGUUCCUGCACAGGUCAGAGUAACCCGAGAGGAGCACCCUUUAAGCCUUGGGAAGACCAGUGCUUGGAAUCAGUUUUUUGAGUACUCGGAGAUUAUGGAGCAGAUUGACCGCGAUGUAAAGCGCGCCCACCCUGACAUGCAUUUCUUCUGUAGCGACUCGUCUUUUGCAAAGUCCAAUCAGGAAUCUUUGAAAAAUGCACUGUUAAUCUUUGCCAAGCUGAAUGCUGGAAUAGGAUAUGUACAAGGAUGAAUGAAAUUCUGGCACCGCUCUUUGUAUUUCGGAGUGAUCCGGAUGAUAAAAAUGCUGUAUGGAGUAAGAGAUUGUUUUUACCAAGUUCUUAGUGCCCUACAUAUAGUACUGCUGAUAGCCGAAGCUUUCCUGUUCAGUUUGGUCAUUACUAUCUUUUGUUGCAUAAUGCUGCCUGGAAUCCUUGUUGAAAUUUGCGGAAGCGGGUUCAUUGUUUUGUUUCGUCGAGCUGGUUAGUGGGUUUAGAGACAACUUCUGCCAGAAACUAGACAACAGUGCUGUUGGAGUUCGAGCUACACUAGCUGACUAGCCAAGUUAUCACAGCUUGUAGCAAAGCAUGAUGGAGGUCUCCAACAACAUUUGGAAAUAACUACAGAAGUUAAUCCCCAGUUCUAUGCGUUCAGAUGGAUACCGUUACCGCUGACCCAGGAAUUCAACUUCGCAGAUACCAUUCACAUUUUGGGACACAGUAUUAAGUGAUCGUGAUAGCCUCCAGGAUACCUUGCUCAGAAUUACCUGCCAACGAACAUCAGCCAUAACCUCUACUCCGCCAACAAAUUGCAGUGCACCGAUCUCUUUUGCGCCCGAAGCGCUGCUGUGUUUGUUCAGCCGGGUGUGGCUGAGUCCCAGCAGCAUUGCAAAAGGAAUACAGAACUGAACCCUUGCGGCGACGGUUUAUUUAUCAUGACCAUUAACCUGACGCCCUGCAUGUUGUAGCCUGUACAUGUUCACCUGACAACGAUUUAUUGCAUCCCAGUUAAUCAAGGUGAAUAAUAAAUUGUAUCCUGCC